ACUCCUACGUGAGCAGCAGUAGGGAAUCUUCCACAAUGGACGGAAGUCUGAUGGAGCAACGCCGCGUGAGCGAAGAAGGUCUUCGGAUCGUAAAGCUCUGUUGUAAGGGAAGAAUAAGUACAGUAGUAACUGGCUGUACCUGACGGUAC
rnacentral:rRNA from 1 species